rnacentral:rRNA from 1 species
GAUCAUGGCUCAGGAUGAACGCUAGCUACAGGCUUAACACAUGCAAGUCGAGGGGCAGCAUGAUCAAAGCUUGCUUUGAUUGAUGGCGACCGGCGCACGGGUGAGUAACGCGUAUCCAACCUUCCCUAUAGUAGUGGAUAGCCCGGCGAAAGUCGGAUUAAUACACUAUGUUGUAUUUAGAGGACAUCUGAAGAAUACCAAAGGUUUACCGCUAUAGGAUGGGGAUGCGUCUGAUUAGAUAGUAGGCGGGGUAACGGCCCACCUAGUCGACGAUCAGUAGGGGUUCUGAGAGGAAGGUCCCCCACAUUGGAACUGAGACACGGUCCAAACUCCUACGGGAGGCAGCAGUGAGGAAUAUUGGUCAAUGGACGGGAGUCUGAACCAGCCGAGUAGCGUGCAGGAUGACGGCCCUAUGGGUUGUAAACUGCUUUUAUACGGGGAUAAAGUGAGCCACGUGUGGCUUUUUGUAGGUACCGUAUGAAUAAGGACCGGCUAAUUCCGUGCCAGCAGCCGC